UCUGUUCAAAUUCAGCCGUCCAAUUCUGUAACAUAU
rnacentral:piRNA from 1 species